CAGCAGUGGGGAAUAUUGCACAAUGGGCGCAAGCCUGAUGCAGCAACGCCGCGUGAGCGAUGAAGGCCUUCGGGUCGUAAAGCUCUGUCCUCAAGGAAGAAUAAAUGACGGUACUUGAGGAGGAAGCCCCGGCUAACUACGUGCCAGCAGCCGCGGUAAUACGUAGGGGGCAAGCGUUAUCCGGAAUCACUGGGCGUAAAGGGUGCGUAGGCGGUUUUUCAAGUCAGAAGUGAAAGGCUAUGGCUCAACCAUAGUAAGCUUUUGAAACUGUUAAACUUGAGUGCAGGAGAGGAAAGUGGAAUUCCUAGUGUAGAGGUGAAAUUCGUAGAUAUUAGGAGGAACACCAGUGGCGAAGGCGACUUUCUGGACUGUAACUGACGCUGAGGCACGAAAGCGUGGGGAGCGAACAGGAUUAGAUACCCUGGUAG
rnacentral:rRNA from 1 species